GCAGAGCCAUCUGAAACGCCACCACCAUCCCCACAAGACCAACGAGCCGUGUCCGAGCCGCCGCCGUGACUGUUGCACCUGCUACCGUGGGGCCAACAGAGACUGCAACACCGGCUCCCGCUUCCUACAGCUCGGCCCCAGGAUGCGGAGGUGAAAUAGAUGAGCAGAGGCGGCCAUACUGAGCUAAACUGGGCCCGAAAUCGUGUCAAAACCAAGACGCGGAGCUUGCAGCAUCGGAAAGACAACAUAGACACCAAAAGAGGUCCCUGGAUCUCUAGCGCUUCCCAGAAGGACACACGGCGAGUCACAAACGAGGGGCGCCAUUCAGCCUGUCCGACCCAUUUGAAACCUUUAGAUCCGAAAAUAAGAUGGUCUUCGUUAAGCUGUGCCGCAGGCCAUGGGAAAAGAGCUACGGAUACGUCAGAGGAGGGAUGAUCUCACCUUCUGGGAAUAAUCCUGGGACAAACAUCCCUGCUGCUCAAGGCAUGUGACACAUUGUGAACAUCGGCACACAUCUGUACAGUUGCUGACACACUAAAGGCAGAGGACCUCACUGCUUUAAACCAGUUCUUAUACACUGUGGUAAUGGUUCAGGUACACGCAGAGCUUUGUGCUGUUCUGCCAGUGUGUCUACGCAUUGUUUUUGCUUGACAACCCACUGAGCACAGAACCAAAGUGCUUUGUAAAGCGGAAGAAUUUUAGGUGACUUGAAACACGCAGUGACCUGAUCCCACCUCAAAAUGUCUGGCUUCAUUAAAGCCACACACACACACAGGAGGGCACAAGUGGAAACUCCAUGGAAGUGGAAACCGCAGGGACGGGACGCACCUGUUUACACAAAGAGUGGUGGGAGUGUUAAACAAGCUGCCCACGUUGCUGAAGCUGAUCCCCAGGUUACUUUCAAGAAAAGGGAGGAUGAGAUCAUUGGAUCUAUGAACAACUGACUAUUAAUUAUCUGAUGGGCCAAAUGAUGUCUUGUGCCCUGAAUCAAGAUGAACUUUUCUACAACUCUCCUUCAUCAGCUUAUUAGAGGCUGGGACUCUUUAGACCUGCACACACUAAAAGAAGAGCUUAACCUCCCUUUUUUUUAAUAUAUCCCUCUACAAAAAUCUACAAAUAAGGAGUCAUUAUGAGGCAAAGUCAUAUUUUGGUGGGGUCUGGGAAUUAUGUGUGAGUGUGGUAUUUUUCAGGCAUGUGUCUUUUCUCUUGCGGUCUGCAAGUACAGGUCUCCUGUCACCUAAACCACCUCGUGUGGCCAGUACGAGCGCUGUGUGCAGGUUUUAGGACCUGCGGGUCUGACAGGUCCUGAAUGGAAUGUGUUUGUCAGGAAGUGGCAGGUGAGAGCAGUACAUUUCCUGUAUAUGGAGGAGGACGCUGUGUGGCAACAUAUUCGUUUUGUCACCUGCGGCAAUUGGCUGAUGAAAUAAGUUGUUAUGAUUUCAAAGCACUAUGGGUCAGUCGCCCCUGGUGGCCUGUGACUCUGUCUCUCUUUUUCCGGAUUUUUGAAGGGGUCAAGGAUGGUCCUGCCUGUCUGAUCUGCCGCCCCCCCCCGGCUGGUUUCUCUGAUGGCCUUCCUCAGCCAGUCUCAUGGUUUGGCUUUCGGGGGGGGGAGUGCAGUCGAAACUGGAUGCGAAGGUGGCACCCAGACAACGGCGCUCCUCUUGCUCUGCCAAAUUGACGCCCAGCCACCAGAUCAAUUAUGCCCCCUAAUUAGGCCAGUGCUUGUCAGAGCCCGGCAAACCUUUGCCCUAGUUGGAGUCGGCAACUCUGAACUCUGACGACUGCUGCUGCGGCUGGCAGCCAAACACAAAACAUGUUUCUGCACAACAAAUGUUUCCAAACAGGUGCCCUCAGUGCAGGAAGAACAGCUCACCAGGUUCUGUUUGUCCAAGAUAUUUCUCUUGUGAAUUAAAGGGGAACUGCAAGCCUAUUUUUAAUAUUUUGGGGUUAGAAAGAAUCGGCAUUGAUGGGGGCAUUUCAGACCACAAUAAAAGUAAAAUGCACACAGUGAAGUCGUCACAAAGUAGACUACAUUUCCAGGUAUGCGCAGGUCAUGUUGCUGUCAUUGUCUGUGAUUCAGAAUGAGGCAGCAAAACUUCAGGUGAGGUGAAACGGCCCUAUUACACUGUAAACAAGCAGGCUUGUGAAAACAUCUCUUUUAAUC